rnacentral:sRNA from 1 species
GCUCUGGAAGGGCGGGCGAGACUGUGGAGGACCUGGAGCUGGCGCGGGUCAGGGCCCGCAGCCGUGCCGGGUGCUCUCCAGCAUGUCCUUCAUCCCGGUGGCCGAGGAUUCCGACUUCCCCAUCCACAACCUGCCCUACGGCGUCUUCUCGACCAGAGGCGACCCAAGACCGAGGAUAGGUGUGGCCAUUGGCGACCAGAUCCUGGACCUCAGCAUCAUCAAGCACCUCUUUACUGGUCCUGUCCUCUCCAAACACCAGGAUGUCUUCAAUCAGCCUACACUCAACAGCUUCAUGGGCCUGGGUCAGGCUGCCUGGAAGGAGGCAAGAGUGUUCCUGCAGAACUUGCUGUCUGUGAGCCAAGCCAGGCUCAGAGAUGACACCGAACUUCGGAAGUGUGCAUUCAUCUCCCAGGCUUCUGCCACGAUGCACCUUCCAGCCGCCAUAGGUGAGUGCAGUCUCUUCACCAAGACAAGAACGGAGCAGCUUCGUGGGCCAAGAGGGCUGGCCAGGAGACUACACAGACUUCUAUUCCUCUCGGCAGCAUGCUACCAACGUCGGAAUCAUGUUCAGGGACAAGGAGAAUGCAUUGAUGCCAAAUUGGUAUGAACUGGGCCAAAUGUUUGCAUAAGUUCAAAGUCUUUCAUUUCCAGCAGCAUGUUUGUCUCAGGAGCUGCCAAGUUCUUCUUAAAGUAAACUGGGGAGGAAAAGCAGUUAUGAUGUUGUUGCAACCUCUGGAGGCAGUGGUCUCAGCUUCUGGUCUCCUGCUCAGCUUGGCUUAGGACUUGCUGUGGGAUCGAAGGGCAAGUCCCUUAAACUUCUUUGGACAGCAGGGGUUGGAAUUAGAUUCCCUUAAUCCCUAUGCUCCUUCUGGAGUCUUUCAUUUAUAAGCUGUGUAUUAUUGUACUAUGGGCAAGUCUUAGACUCUAGCAUGCUCCAUACUUACAUUUUCUGAUAAAUGAGAAUCCUCAAAUGUGCCCAGUGCUGUAUAUUCCUCAACAUGUGAUUGGUUUCAUUCAUUUGUUUGAUCCUCGUAGUAGUUCUGUGAUGUCACAAGGCCAUGAUUGUAAGCCCCAUUUUACAGACAGGAAAAUGGGCUCAGAGAAGGAUCAACUUGCCUGAGCACAACAGGGCCACAGCCUGUCUCCCAGCCCCCAGAUCAGGCCAUUGACCAAGCUGAGGAUGCAGAGCUGGGAUCCUUGCCCUUUGUUCUGUGUUGUCCCCUGGAUGUGAUGGUUCCUUGGAACUGAAGAGGGCCUGGACUCAGUGGCAGGCAUACACUCCAGGCCCCAGUGCCAUCAGUCACACACAGGAGCUGGGUUAGGGACGGGGCUUUACUCUCUCUCGAGUGAGUGUCUCCAGUAGGCUAUGCCAUGAGGGGAGGGUCUGUUAGAAC